GUUCACACUCAUACACCGUGAAUUGUCGAACCUAGCGCUCGUCCCCCCUGCUCAGCAGUUUUCUCUUCCUGCUCGUCCAAACCUGGCGCUCGUCCUUGCUGGAUUGCUGUUGUUGAUCUAAUCUUGUUCACCGGUCAGCUCCAGAAAGUCUACUCGGAAUAGUCGUCGCUCCAUCAAUACCAUCGUUCGUCGUUGCAAGCAGGGACCCCGCAUUGCCGUAGCUGAAUACGGACGCGUACACAGUGAACUGCCAAGCCUAGCGCUCGUGCUUGCUGGAUUGCUGUUGUGGAUCUAAUCCCGUUCGCCUGGUCAGCUCCAGGAAGUCUACUUGGAAUAGGUAAAAGACAUCUAUCUACUUGCUCUCUUUUUCCCUUGAACUGAUGCAGCAAGUUUAAUAACAAAAUUGGGGAAAGUUGAUGUCAUAUACUUGCUGGCCAGAUUAAAGUUGCAGCUUGACUGCAUAAUUCAUGGUGA